rnacentral:misc_RNA from 1 species
AUUUAAAGAAAAUGCACCCAUCACAAGUCUGCCAAUGAUUAUUUUCUACCAAAAUAUAUGGCUAUAUAUCUAACACCUCUACUAUCUUAGACUAUAAAAGCUAUAAAUCUAAUGCCUCAGGCAGUGAGGAGCUCGCAAAAUAUUAACUCAAAUGUAUCUGAAAAUGGGGAUGGCAAAACUUCAAAGUAUCAUUUUCUUUUUAUGUUUAAUUAAUUUAGGCGUUGGCAAAUUUGAUUCCUUUCUCAAUGGACGAUUUCAGUUCUGGUUUAAGAGCUUCAAGUCCUUCUUUCUCGUAGUCUGAAAGUGCGCCUAAUCCCAACACUUCUUCCACACCAUUUUUCCCAAGUCUCACCUUGGAUGCAAAGAAUGGCAGGUCUGUCACAGUCGAUUGUACGAAUGAACACUCUACAACAUCUGGAACCCCAUUCAGUCCCUUCAAGCAAGCAUCCGCGAAGAUGGCACCAGCAUAGGCCAUCGAGAGGGUGGCUGAACCCUUUCCA